UUUUUUUGGCUCUCGUUUCAUUAGUUGAAAAGCCCAUUGGAUGGAAGCGUGGGGCACUACCCCAUUGUCCUAUUUGUCCAUUCUUCUACUCAACCUACCACUCCUCCACUGCUAUUACUCCUUAACUACUCUUCUUCAUCAUUUUCUUUCCAUUCUUUCAAAAAAUUCAAACAAUUGAAAUCUGUCUGAAUUCGGAUUUGCAAAAGAAGGCCAAAUUGUACAUACUAUUGCUAUGGGUUCAUCAGUUACUCUUAUGUAAGUUACUCGAUUACUUUCUUUCUAUUUAUUCAAAUAGAAUCGAUCGAAUUUGACAAAUUUAAUUCAGUUGGGUUUGAACACAGAUUGCAUCGAUGGGCAGAGAAGUCUUUGCGAAGCACAGAGAUACGUGGUCUCUGCGCUACGCAAAGAUUGCAGUGCAGAUUAAAUGAAUUGCAAGUCUGAAUGAUAACAGUGAAUUUGUUUGUGCGAAAAUUGUCUAUUUCUUUCUUAAUUUUUCAUUCAACAAAUUGAUGCAUCGAUUAUGUUGCAGUAUUGGAUAUACUAAGCAUUUGGACAAAAAAUUGGACAUAGAUAUAAAACAUUACAGAGUCCACGAAUGCACAAAUGGAAGUCAAAUGGUUAAGCAAUUUUUGACUGCUCAAGAAGUAUGAUUUUUUUAAUGAAUUGUGCAUUUAAUCAUGUUUAUUUGAAAAGAAAUUUAAAAGAAAUCAUUCCAAUAUUUUAUUACAAUUACAAAUUUGAGUAGUUGCAGUGUUAGAAGCGUUAUACCUUGUUGCAAUUUUUUAGGUAGGUAGAUGAAGAUCUUGUGUUAGGUUGUUAUGGUAUGUAAAAGUUAUACCUUCAAUUGUGUCCGUUUCUUAAAUUUUCCUUCGUUUGAUUUCGUGUAAUUGUUUAAAAAUUAGCAGAAUUCUUUUCUUACUUGACUGUCAAACAAUUGUACUCGUCUUUUUCAUCGAGUUUUCUCUCUUCUUGGAGCAAUUUUUCUGCCUUAUGUUGUUUGCAUUGUUCUCCUUCAUGCUUCAUUUCUUAAUACAUAUACUCUUGUAUUUUUUUAUGUGGUUGAAAGAAAGUAUUGAAACUAAAAAUCAGAUUUUAAUCCCUAUCAAACAGGAGUUAAAUAGUAAUCUUAUGCCAAACUGACAUAACAUAUUUAAAAACAACCUGAGGAAUAUAUUGCUUGAAUAUGGGUUAACAUGUUUGUGUAAUGGUUGUGAUAGUUUUAGUGCCUUAAGAUCUUAUAACUCUUUCAUGUAGCCUCUAUUUUUUUGUUAGUAUUCUCAGAUUAAUUCUAAUUAUAUUGGAAGUCACUAUUCAAUUUUCUUUGUUGUUUCUUGAUUUAUUGAAGAUGCAAUAUGAUAUAUAAAUAUAUUAUUAAAGAAGAUAAUUUUUUUAAUGCUUUCCAUAGGUUAAAAAAGAUGAAGCAGCACUAUAGACAAAUCAGCAAACUGAUCAUUUGAAAUAGAAAGAAAUCCACAGAGAAAACACUCUCCAUGUAGUGCGAAAAAUGCAUAGAGUGGAGAGGUGUGCACGCACACUCUCCGUGUUGCACUGAGAGGCGCACGCGAAGAGUACCUUUCAGCUCUACCGGAAGGUGCAGAGGCGAUGCGAAAAGUGCCUCUCCGCGGUACGCGGAGAGCAGUCUCUCUGGGCUGCUUGGAGAUCCGUGCAGCUCCAAUUUUUUUCUUUUUUCUCAUUUCUUUAAGCUAAAAACCUCAACUUCCCGGUUUUUGAAGAAAUUUUAGGAUUGUCAAUUUUUGGUAAAACUUUAGUCAAAUUUGACUGAAAACGUGCCAAUGAACAAAAUUUAGCAGCUUCGCUACUGAUGUGGGGGCCAAUUUAGCAUCCUCUCCAAUGAACAGAAUUUAGCACCUUUAUUUAGGCAUUUGUUUAUUCGUUGUUUCCUUUUUAAUAAAUUUUGUUUUGGUUAUAUCUUCUUCAAUUUAAGUUGGAUUUGAAUUCUAUUUGUUAGAGAUAAUCCUUAAGAUUAGGACUCUCAAUUUUAGUCAUUAUAUUGAUUUUUUUUCAUUUUUCUUAUUAUUUUUAAAUUUUUUCGAAUUUAUUUUCGCUAUAUAAAGUAUUGUAAUUAUCGUCAGAAAUUAAUUUUUUUAGGAUCAUACGAUUUUUUACUUGUCAUUAUGAUGCUUACAAUGCUUUGAUUACAAUGGCAAUGAGAGAACAGUAGCCAUUGGCUCUAAAAUUCCUCUCCUUAUGGUCAAGAGGUAGAUUGAGGCUUAACUAUUUUUUAUCUUGUUUUGAACACAUUAUUGUUAUUUUAUGAGUUAAAAAUUUUGAUGGAGGACUCAUCAAUGAUAUUUGUUCUNNNNNNNNNNNNNNNNNNNNNNNNNNNNNNNNNNNNNNNNNNNNNNNNNNNNNNNNNNNNNNNNNNNNNNNNNNAAAUUAAUUUUUUUAGGAUCAUACGAUUUUUUACUUGUCAUUAUGAUGCUUACAAUGCUUUGAUUACAAUGGCAAUGAGAGAACAGUAGCCAUUGGCUCUAAAAUUCCUCUCCUUAUGGUCAAGAGGUAGAUUGAGGCUUAACUAUUUUUUAUCUUGUUUUGAACACAUUAUUGUUAUUUUAUGAGUUAAAAAUUUUGAUGGAGGACUCAUCAAUGAUAUUUGUUCUAGGUUAAGUUAACAUUGUUUUCCGUGUAAAUCUUUUGAUGAAAAUUUGCAUUUUGAUGACAAAUCUUAGUUGACAAGCAUGCUCUUGUUAUUCCACCAUUCAUGGGUCGGGGAAAGCGAAUCCAUCCUAUACCAUUUUUUGAUUCCUCCAUGACUGGUAAUUUCUUUGAGAAUUACUAGAGCAGUUCCCUAAUUAAUUUGUUAGGAUUGAAUAGAAGGUUAAUUAAACUACUGAUAUGGCAGUUCAAAGAUUUAGCUGUGUAUGGGUAUGGUACCGUUGCCUAGAAGGAAAGAAUGGAAGAAUGGAAGAAAAAGCAGAAUGAUAAACUUCAAGUAGUGAAGCAUCAAGGAGAGAAAGAUGGAAACAAUGGUGAAGAUGAGAUGGAGGAUCCUGAGUUACCCAAGAAGGCCCAUCUAUUUUGUUUCUUUUAUCAUAUGUUGCUUUACAGGAUCUAACUUUAGUGUUUUAUUUAUAAAUUGUUUUUAUGUUCUGAGUUUUGGUCCAUUAGAUUGCAUUAGCUUUCCCUUGGGCU
rnacentral:lncRNA from 1 species